GUUGCUUUGGCCGAGUUGUUAAGGCGUGUGCCUGCUAAGUACCUGUGGUUUCCUCGGGAGAGUUCGAAUCUCUCAAGCAACG
rnacentral:tRNA from 1 species